CUGACUCAGCUCCUUCAGAGCUCCCCUGGGAUCAGGAUUCCUCCUGGCUUAGCUGCUCCCACUUGGAGGGGAGGAGCAACUAAGAUGGGAGGACUGAGCUGUCUCCUGCUUCAGCUGGACCAGAUAAGUCAGAUGAGAAUGAGACCAGGACUGCAGGAUCCAACAAGGGACAGCUCAGAAAAAUGUCUGGGAUACAUUCUGUGAUGGACGCCUGUGUAUUUCAUCAUAAGUGAAUGGUUUCAUGGAAUUGAGACCUAAUUGAAGAGGAAGUAGUCUCUUGAAGGUUAACAGAAAAUAAAUAAAUAAACCCCAAUGGAAGGACAAGCAAAUCCAAGACCCUAAAGGCAGGAAGAACCUGGCAUGUUCAAAGGCCAAGAAGUUUAGUGGAUCUGAGAAGAGUGAAUAAUUAGGAAAAAAAUGGGAGUAAAGAGACCCAAGAAGCAGAUUGGACUCUGACUGUGCAUGGCCUUGUAGGCUAUGGUUAGGAAUUUGAAAAUUCUAUUCUUGUUUCAAUGAUAUUUUUUCAGUUUUUUAAUUAAACUUUUU